GGGACACGUGGUAUCCUGUCUGAAUAUGGGGGGACCAUCCUCCAAGGCUAAAUACUCCUGACUGACCGAUAGUGAACCAGUACCGUGAGGGAAAGGCGAAAAGAACCCCGGCGAGGGGAGUGAAAAAGAACCUGAAACCGUGUACGUACAAGCAGUGGGAGCACGCUUAGGCGUGUGACUGCGUACCUUUUGUAUAAUGGGUCAGCGACUUAUAUUCUGUAGCAAGGUUAACCGAAUAGGGGAGCCGAAGGGAAACCGAGUCUUAACUGGGCGUUAAGUUGCAGGGUAUAGACCCGAAACCCGGUGAUCUAGCCAUGGGCAGGUUGAAGGUUGGGUAACACUAACUGGAGGACCGAACCGACUAAUGUUGAAAAAUUAGCGGAUGACUUGUGGCUGGGGGUGAAAGGCCAAUCAAACCGGGAGAUAGCUGGUUCUCCCCGAAAGCUAUUUAGGUAGCGCCUCGUGAAUUCAUCUCCGGGGGUAGAGCACUGUUUCGGCAAGGGGGUCAUCCCGACUUACCAACCCGAUGCAAACUGCGAAUACCGGAGAAUGUUAUCACGGGAGACACACGGCGGGUGCUAACGUCCGUCGUGAAGAGGGAAACAACCCAGACCGCCAGCUAAGGUCCCAAAGUCAUGGUUAAGUGGGAAACGAUGUGGGAAGGCCCAGACAGCCAGGAUGUUGGCUUAGAAGCAGCCAUCAUUUAAAGAAAGCGUAAUAGCUCACUGGUCGAGUCGGCCUGCGCGGAAGAUGUAACGGGGCUAAACCAUGCACCGAAGCUGCGGCAGCGACACUAUGUGUUGUUGGGUAGGGGAGCGUUCUGUAAGCCUGUGAAGGUGUGCUGUGAGGCAUGCUGGAGGUAUCAGAAGUGCGAAUGCUGACAUAAGUAACGAUAAAGCGGGUGAAAAGCCCGCUCGCCGGAAGACCAAGGGUUCCUGUCCAACGUUAAUCGGGGCAGGGUGAGUCGACCCCUAAGGCGAGGCCGAAAGGCGUAGUCGAUGGGAAACAGGUUAAUAUUCCUGUACUUGGUGUUACUGCGAAGGGGGGACGGAGAAGGCUAUGUUGGCCGGGCGACGGUUGUCCCGGUUUAAGCGUGUAGGCUGGUUUUCCAGGCAAAUCCGGAAAAUCAAGGCUGAGGCGUGAUGACGAGGCACUACGGUGCUGAAGCAACAAAUGCCCUGCUUCCAGGAAAAGCCUCUAAGCAUCAGGUAACAUCAAAUCGUACCCCAAACCGACACAGGUGGUCAGGUAGAGAAUACCAAGGCGCUUGAGAGAACUCGGGUGAAGGAACUAGGCAAAAUGGUGCCGUAACUUCGGGAGAAGGCACGCUGAUAUGUAGGUGAAGUCCCUCGCGGAUGGAGCUGAAAUCAGUCGAAGAUACCAGCUGGCUGCAACUGUUUAUUAAAAACACAGCACUGUGCAAACACGAAAGUGGACGUAUACGGUGUGACGCCUGCCCGGUGCCGGAAGGUUAAUUGAUGGGGUUAGC
rnacentral:rRNA from 1 species